CCCGACGUAGUUUAGUGGCUAGAACGCCCGGCUGUAGACCGGGAUGUCGCCGGUCCGAGUCCGGCCGUCGGGACCA
rnacentral:tRNA from 1 species